rnacentral:rRNA from 1 species
UAAAGAAUUUCGGUAUGGGAUGGGGAUGCGUUCCAUUAGUUAGUUGGCGGGGUAACGGCCCACCAAGACAACGAUGGAUAGGGGUUCUGAGAGGAAGGUCCCCCACAUUGGAACUGAGACACGGUCCAAACUCCUACGGGAGGCAGCAGUGAGGAAUAUUGGUCAAUGGACGAGAGUCUGAACCAGCCAAGUAGCGUGAAGGAUGACUGCCCUAUGGGUUGUAAACUUCUUUUAUAUGGGAAUAAAAUGUUCCACGUGUGGGAUUUUGUAUGUACCAUAUGAAUAAGGAUCGGCUAACUCCGUGCCAGCAGCCGCGGUAAUACGGAGGAUCCGAGCGUUAUCCGGAUUUAUUGGGUUUAAAGGGAGCGUAGGUGGAUUGUUAAGUCAGUUGUGAAAGUUUGCGGCUCAACCGUAAAAUUGCAGUUGAAACUGGCAGUCUUGAGUACAGUAGAGGUGGGCGGAAUUCGUGGUGUAGCGGUGAAAUGCUUAGAUAUCACGAAGAACUCCGAUUGCGAAGGCAGCUCACUGGACUGCAACUGACACUGAGGCUCGAAAGUGUGGGUAUCAAACAGGAUUAGAUACCCUGGUAGUCCACACAGUAAACGAUGAAUACUCG